rnacentral:rRNA from 1 species
AACUUGAGAGUUUGAUCCUGGCUCAGAACGAACGCUGGCGGCAGGCUUAACACAUGCAAGUCGAGCGCCCCGCAAGGGGAGCGGCAGACGGGUGAGUAACGCGUGGGAAUCUACCCAUCUCUACGGAACAACUCCGGGAAACUGGAGCUAAUACCGUAUACGUCCUUAUGGAGAAAGAUUUAUCGGAGAUGGAUGAGCCCGCGUUGGAUUAGCUAGUUGGUGGGGUAAUGGCCUACCAAGGCGACGAUCCAUAGCUGGUCUGAGAGGAUGAUCAGCCACAUUGGGACUGAGACACGGCCCAAACUCCUACGGGAGGCAGCAGUGGGGAAUAUUGGACAAUGGGCGCAAGCCUGAUCCAGCCAUGCCGCGUGAGUGAUGAAGGCCCUAGGGUUGUAAAGCUCUUUCAACGGUGAAGAUAAUGACGGUAACCGUAGAAGAAGCCCCGGCUAACUUCGUGCCAGCAGCCGCGGUAAUACGAAGGGGGCUAGCGUUGUUCGGAAUUACUGGGCGUAAAGCGCACGUAGGCGGAUAUUUAAGUCAGGGGUGAAAUCCCGGGGCUCAACCCCGGAACUGCCUUUGAUACUGGGUAUCUCGAGUCCGAGAGA